GGCAGCUUGGCCCUUGUGUCACCUUAAACCCGGUCCUAAGAUAAUUUCUUUCAAGCUGUGUAGGGAAUGACUAUCUGCAGUGGCUGUGGUGUCAUUCCACUUGCACGUACUUAUAGGACCAGCGAUGGGCACGACUGGCCCUGCACAGAGUACAGCACUGCAGCUACUCCUGGGUGCAUUAAAAGAAAUGACAACCAUUCAUUACUUUUCCAGGAGCAGCCUCUGCCUCCUGACCUGGAGGUGCAAACCUGAGAGUGAAGGAAUGGAGAGAUGUCACCAUGUCUUUCAGGUAAUUUGACAGAGGAGCUCCCUGUCAAAUGAGGAUGAGGAGUCCUAUGAGGGUGAGAUCCCUUCUGCUAAGGCUGGGCCCUGGAGCACGUGAAUGUGAGGCCAAAGCUGCUGCUGUGACUGAGAUACCCACUCAGGACAAGUUUGGAUGAUCCACAAAUGCCUCUGCAAGUGAGCAGCAGGCAGCAAGGCUGGCCUGGAGGAGAGGUAGAACAGACCAAAUGGAGCUGGAAAAUCUUAAUAUCCCAGUUUUUGCCUCUGCAAGGCACAAGGCACUGGCUCUCCCAGGAAAUCCAUCAGUGCUGCAUUCAGAUCAGGGGACCAACCCGGGCUCCACCCUCAGUCUCUUUCAGAUGCUUAAAUUACAUCAUGAUCUAACUUCACCCAGGGGAGGG